rnacentral:rRNA from 1 species
UCAUAUGCUUGUCUCAAAGAUUAAGCCAUGCAUGUGCAGUGCAAGCCCUUUUAGCACGGUGAAAUGCGAAUGGCUCAUUAAAUCAGUUAUGGUUGCUUGGAAAGCGAACUUUGCUUAGUUGGAUAGCUGUGGCAAUCUAGAGCUAAUACAUGCCUCGAAGCUUCGAUUGGUGGGCUUGCUCACCAAGAGAAGCGCUUUUAUUAGAUCAAAGCCGACACUUGAACCGUGUGGUGACUCUGGAUAACUUUGUGCCGAUCGCAUCAGUCCUCGCGACUGGCGACGUAUCCUUCAAGUGUCUGACCUAUCAAGUUUCGAUGGUGAGAGCUGUGCCCACCAUGCUGUUGACGGGUAACGGGGAAUCAGGGUUCGAUUCCGGAGAGGGAGCCUGCGAAACGGCUACCACAUCCAAGGAAGGCAGCAGGCGCGCAAAUUACCCAUUGCUCACCUGAGCGAGGUAGUGACGAGAAAUAACAAUAUCGCGGCCCUAAGUGGUUGUGAUAAUUGGAAUGAGCACACUUUAAAUCCUUUGAAUCGAGGAUCUACUGGAGGGCAAGUCUGGUGCCAGCAGCCGCGGUAAUUCCAGCUCCAGCAGCGUAUACUAGAGUUGUUGCAGUUAAAAAGCUCGUAGUUGGAGUUCGACCCGCGGGGGCGGUUCUGUUUCGCGACAGUUUAACUGCUUUCAUUUGUCCCGCGGGGAUGUCGCCGGUGUGUGUGCAAGCACAUGGUGGGUUGGUUUCUUUUGCGUGGCGCAAGUUGCGUGAGGGGGAUUGAUCUGCCACUGGGCCGAUGCUCUUAAUCGAGUGUCGCUCGGGGCCGGCCGUGUUACUUUGAAAAAAUUAGAGUGUUCAAGGCAGGCUUUUCAAGCCUGAAUACAGCAGCAUGGAAUAACGAAAAAGGUUCUCGGUUUGUUCAAGCUUCAGUGGCAACCUUCGCGGUUGUGGCUGGGGUGAGUUUUGCGUCGUGUUGGCUUACCUGACCGAGGAAAUGAUUAAGAGGGACAGACGGGGGCAUUCAUAUUGGGCCGUUAGAGGUGAAAUUCUUGGAUCGGCUCAAGAUGAACAAGUGCGAAGGCAUUUGCCAAGAAUGUUUUCAUUAAUCAAGAGCGAAAGUCAGAGGAUCGAAGACGAUCAGAUACCGUCGUAGUUCUGACUGUAAACGAUGUCGGCUAGCGAUCGGUCGGCGUGUUCAACCAGGUGUUCUAGGGGCGGUUCGACGCGAGUCGUCCGUUUCCGGCGCUUGGUCCCUACCCGACCGGCAGCUUCUUUCACUUCUCACGAGGGAAACCGUUAAGCUUUCGGAUUCCGGGGGAAGUAUGGUUGCAAAGCUGAAACUUAAAGGAAUUGACGGAAGGGCACCACCAGGAGUGGAGCGUGCGGCUUAAUUUGACUCAACACAGAGAACCUGACCCGGUCCGGACAGCGUAAGGAUUGACAGAUUGAAAGCUCUUUCUCGAUUCGUUGGGUGGUGGUGCAUGGCCGUUCUUAGUUGGUGGAGUGAUUUGUCAGGUUAAUUCCGAUAACGAACGAGACUCUGGCCUGCUAACUAGACCUCGUUUCAUACAUGCAGCCGUGGUGGGUGUGCGUCGUUGUAGCUUGGGUUCGCCUGGGUUGCGCGGCGUUCAUCGCCCGGUUGAAGAAACGAGGGCGACUUCUUAGAGGGACUGGCGUUGUAGAGACGCACGAGAUGGAGCAAUAACAGGUCUGUGAUGCCCUUAGAUGUUCGGGGCCGCACGCGCGCUACACUGGUGAAAGAAACACGCUUUAAUCCAACCUGCUCUGCGAAGAGUGGGGAAUCGUGUGAACUUUUGCCGUGCUUGGGAUUGGGGUUUGCAAUUGUUGCCCAUGAACGAGGAAUUCCCAGUAAGCGCGAGUCAGCAGCUCGCGUUGAUUACGUCCCUGCCCUUUGUACACACCGCCCGUCGCUACUACCGAUUGAAUGGUUUAGUGAGAGCCUCGGAUUGCUGCGGUUGGGGGUGUCAAAGCCUCUAGCUUGCUGUGAGAAGACGUUCAAACUUGAUCAUUAGAGGAAGUAAAAGUAACUGAUUUAA